GCCCGUGGCUCAGCCUGGCUAGAGCGCACGACUGAUAAUCGUGAGGUCGGGAGUUCAAAUCUCCUCGGGC
rnacentral:tRNA from 1 species